rnacentral:rRNA from 1 species
AGUCUGGGCCGCACGCGCGCUACACUGAUGAAGUCAGCGAGUUUAUAACCUUGGCCGGAAGGUCUGGGUAAACUUUUGAAACUUCAUCGUGCUGGGGAUAGAGCUUUGUAAUUAUUGCUCUUCAACGAGGAAUUCCUAGUAAGCGCAAGUCAUCAGCUUGCGUUGAUUACGUCCCUGCCCUUUGUACACACCGCCCGUCGCUACUACCGAUUGAAUGGUUAUAGUGAGCAUAUGGGAUCAGCAGGAUUCGAUGGGCAACCAUCAUUUCUUGUUAGAGAACUAUGGCAAACUAAGCUAUUUAGAGGAAGUAAAAGUCGUAACAAGGUUUCCGUAGGUGAACCUGCGGAAGGAUCAUUACUUAUGUAAUGGGGGGAAGGGAAAAAAAAAAAAAAAAAAAAAGCGGUUUCCGGCCCCCCUUUUUUUUUUUUUUUCCCCCC